GUGGGGAAUCUUGCGCAAUGGGCGAAAGCCUGACGCAGCCAUGCCGCGUGAAUGAUGAAGGUCUUAGGAUUGUAAAAUUCUUUCACCGGGGACGAUAAUGACGGUACCCGGAGAAGAAGCUCCGGCUAACUUCGUGCCAGCAGCCGCGGUAAUACGAAGGGGGCUAGCGUUGCUCGGAAUUACUGGGCGUAAAGGGCGCGUAGGCGGACAGCUUAGUCAGAGGUGAAAGCCCAGGGCUCAACCUUGGAAUUGCCUUUGAUACUGGCUGGCUUGAGUUUGGGAGAGGUGAGUGGAACUCCGAGUGUAGAGGUGAAAUUCGUAGAUAUUCGGAAGAACACCAGUGGCGAAGGCGACUCACUGGCCCAAUACUGACGCUGAGGCGCGAAAGCGUGGGGAGCAAACAGGAUUAGAUACCCCUGUAGUCC
rnacentral:rRNA from 1 species